GACAGAGGAUGCAAGCGUUAUCCAGAAUGAUUGGGCGUAAAGCGUCUGUAGGUGGCUUUUCAAGUCCGCCAUCAAAUCCCAGGGCUCAACCCUGGACAGGCGGUGGAAACUACCAAGCUGGAGUACGGUAGGGGCAGAGGGAAUUUCCGGUGGAGCGGUGAAAUGCAUUGAGAUCGGAAAGAACACCAACAGCGAAAGCACUCUGCUGGGCCGACACUGACACUGAGAGACGAAAGCUAGGGGAGCAAAUGGG
rnacentral:rRNA from 1 species